rnacentral:rRNA from 1 species
GGACAACCUGCCCUCGGGAGGGGGAUAACCCAGGGAAACUGGGGCUAAACCCCCAUAGGUGAUGGAUACUGGAAUGUUCCAUCACCGAAAGUCCGCAAGGAGCCCGAGGAUGGGUCUGCGGCGGAUUAGGUAGUUGGUGGGGUAACGGCCCACCAAGCCUAAGAUCCGUACGGGCCAUGGGAGUGGGAGCCCGGAGAUGGACCCUGAGACAAGGGUCCAGGCCCUACGGGGCGCAGCAGGCGCGAAACCUCCGCAAUGCGGGAAACCGCGACGGGGUCAGCCGGAGUGCCGAUGCUUGCAUCGGCUGUCGGGGAGCCUAAAAAGCUCCCCAUAGCAAGGGCCGGGCAAGGCCGGUGGCAGCCGCCGCGGUAAUACCGGCGGCCCGAGUGGCGGCCACUAUUAUUGGGCUUAAAGCGUCCGUAGCCGGGUUGGUUAGUCUCCCGGGAAAUCUGGCCGCUUAACGGUCAGAAUUCCGGGAGAUACUGCCAGCCUAGGGACCGGGAGAGGCCGAGGGUAUUCCCGGAGUAGGGGUGAAAUCCUAUAAUCCCGGGAGGACCACCUGUGGCGAAGGCGCUCGGCUGGAACGGGUCCGACGGUGAGGGACGAAGGCCAGGGGAGCAAACCGGAUUAGAUACCCGGGUAGUCCUGGCUGUAAACGAUGCGGACUUUGUGUCGGACAAGCUAUGAGCUUGUCCGGUG